rnacentral:lncRNA from 1 species
UGUUUGGACUUGAUGGUUAUAGAUUGUGUCUAGAUUUGUUAAGUUGUUUCCAACACCUCGUGCCAAAUGAAAGCACAAUCUUUCUGAUUCAGAUGUCUGGUUAAUUAUGCUUCAUUUUUUCGUUAAAGAUUGGAUGGUUGCAUGGAUUGAUGGAGUUGGAGUUCAACCAAUAAUUCUAAUUUUUUGGACUUAAAAUGCCUUUUUCUUCUGUAUAAAAACUUUAGUAAGUGCUAUUGAGUUGACAGAAGUUGAAUACUUACAGGUUGUUUCACACUUUUUAAUAGUUUUACAUAUAUGAAUUUCUGUUUUUUGAAUUGCAGAAAGGAGGUGGAACUAUUGAUUUGGAGCCUUAUCUUACUCACUCAUCGACAACGGAGCCUACCCUCGCUCCCAUGGCAGUGGAACGGACAACGACUACUAGGGCUGCAACAUCAGUUGGUUUGGGUCUGUUUUGAGUUUAUUUUCAUUUAUUUGGCUAUGUUUUGAUAGCGAAUUUUGAUAUGUCAAUAUAAUGUGUAAUUGUUUUGGGUUGAGCUGGUAAUUAUGCUGGAUUAGAUUGGUUUGGUUUUGGUGCUUCUCUGAUGGAACACUGCUUCUUUUAGAAAUUUUGAAUGUAAUAUGAGACUACAUUUAGUUUAAUUGAACACUGCAUCUAGUCUAAUUACUAGAAGUGUGGCAUUUGGUUUGGUUUAUCCGAUAUUCUCCAGAAUUUCACUUGCAUCUGGUUUUGUUGCAUAUGUUUGCUUGCAUUUGAUGGCAGUAGCAGACUGUUUGGUUUUGUGACAUUUGACGGCAGUUUGGUCUGUUCUUGGUGUUGAUUUAAGAUUGCUCCUGUUGUGCUGAUGUUAAUUGCAGGUGCUGGAAUCAGCUAGGGUUGCUGGUUUAUUCAGAUAGUUGACUCAGGCGUUGUUACUGGUUAAUUCAGGUGGCUGACUCAAGUUGUUCAUUUAAUGUUAGGAAGCAAAUUAAGAAUUAAUGAAGUAUUCAUUUAACUAUAAUUAUUGUAGUUAUUUUAUUUCAUAACUGAAUUAUAAUCUAUGGUACUUGUGAACAAAUUAGAGAAUUUUUAUAUAUGAAUUAUAUAUAUGUGUGUGUAUGUACAUUUUGCUAUUUAUGUAAUAAUUUAAAGAAUAUAUUUCAAUUCCCACAAAAAAAAAUGGCUCCAAUUUCAAUAAUUCCCGCCAAAUAAUUAUUAUUUUUUAAUUUACCACCAAAAUAUAUCUUAAAGAAAUUUUAGUUAUUCUUGCUAGAUUUAACAAAAAUAAUUUGUAGGAUUAACAUUUAAUUAAAAUAAUUAAAUAAUUUUAUUAUUCCAAUUAAAAAUGUCAUGUUUAUACGAUAGACAAUAUUCAUGAAUGGGAAGUAUUAGUUACAUAUUUUUCCUUGGGAUUUCAGGCAAAUGAAAAAAAGAUUGAGAAUGAUUUCAAGAGGACAGGUGGAUGAUAAGUAUUCAUUUUUGUAUAUUUGGCUAGUGGAUUUUUAUGGUAUUGAUCUUUUUAAAAAAAAAAAAAAAAUUCAAUUAGUUGCAGCCCUAGAGGAAGAGCAGGCUGAUCAAAUUGAUUUGUCUUGUUUUUCGGGCAAUCUACGACACGAUGACUGUGAUAAUGCUCGUGACUGCUGGAAACUUUCACUUAGAAAUUAUGAGGAAAAAGUAGUAUCCUUCUUAUUUACAAUCAGUACAAGGAUCCCUUUUAAAUAGAGCAAUUAUAACAGAAAAGGAAACUAAUUAAGAGCUAAUAUUUGACAGCUAUCAUCUAUAUUUACAUAGGAAAGGAUCCUAAAAUAUCUCUAGGAUUAAGGCUAAAAUCAAGGCCUAAUUUCCAACACUCCCCCUCAAGCUGGUUUGAAGAUAUCUUCCAUAGCCAGCUUGCUAGUCAACUUAUCAAAUUGCUUCUUGUGCAAUCCCUUUGUUAAUACAUCAGCUAAAUGUUCAGUUGUUGGAAGAUAGGUCAUACAUAUUAUUCCAGUGUUGAGUUUCUCCUUGAUGAAGUGUUUAUCCACUUCUAUAUGUUUUGUUCGAUCAUGAAGAACAGGAUUAUGAGCUAUAGAAAUAGCAGCUUUGUUGUCACAAUAGACUUUCAUAGGAGUUGAGAAAGUAAAUUUCAGUUCUUCAAGAAUUCUUUUUAUCCACAUAACCUCACAGAUUCCAUGGGCAACAACUCUGAAUUCUGCUUCUGCACUACUUCUAGCAACCACAUUCUGUUUUUUACUCUGCCAUGUAACUAGGUUCCCACCAACAAAGGAACAGUAGCCAGAUGUUGAUCUCCUGUCAGUGACACUUCCUGCCCAGUCUGCAUCUGUGUAGACUUCAACUUGAAGAUGUCUAUGUUUUUUGAACAUUAGGCCCCUCCCUGGAGUUCCUUUUAGAUAUCUUAAGAUCCUGUAGACUGCCUCAAAAUGCUCUGCCCCUGGUGAGUGCAUAAACUGACUUACCAUGCUGACUGCAAAGGCGAUAUCAGGUCGCGUAUGAGACAAGUAGAUCAACUUCCCUACGAGUUUUUGAUAUUGUUCCCUAUCCUUUACUUCUUCAACCUUAGCAGGUUGUAACUUCAAGUUAGGAUCAAUUGGGCACUUUAGCCUAAAAUGAAGAUCUAUUAAAAAUUUCCCUGAUGUCAUGAUAUAAAACAAUAAAAGGUACCAACUUCAGCUUAAAUUCAUAUAAAAUUAAACCUUACCACAUACUGUAUUGAAACAAAUUACUCAUCUUUAUUGGUAACAUCAUCACCUUCAUAAAAUAUAUGGUAUCGUACAAAGUUCUUGCGCUGGGUUCGGGCAUCUAACAACGAGGACACAGCAACCUAUUCGCUAGGUUAGAGACCAAAGAGCCAACAGCAAAAUGUGCACGACGCAUGUCACUAUCAUGAAAACAACAUUCUUUUUUCUUUUUUUUUUUUCUCUCAAUAAUUUCAGAUAUAAUAUUUUAACUAAGUUUGUAACACUGUUGAUUGAAAUUAUCAAGUACGAAUGUGUGUAGAUUUUAACAUGUGCACUCAUAAUUAUUAUUGUGCAGUUUUAGACUUGGUUGGGUAUUGAGGUGCUAAAACUUUUGCCGUAAGAAAAAAAAGUUUUAAGUAUAAAAUAAAAGUUAAUAGUAUAUAAUAAAUUUAAUUUUUUUAAUAAUAAUUUUGAUAAAAUUAGAAAAGAUAUAAUAAAUUUUUUAUCAUAUAAGUGUAAAAUCAAAUCAUCUUAACUUUUAAACUACAACAACUAUAACAUUUUAACUGUUCAAUCUCAAUCCCAAAUAGACCCUUAAUUUAUAAUUAGAUUGUCACUAAAAGAUUUUAAGUAUGUAUUUUAGAAUUUAACGAAUACACUUUUAAACUACCUUUGUCAGAUGAAAUGUUGGGAAAUUUUUAUUAAGCUCCAAAAGUGUUUGAAAUAAAUUUAUGUUUUUAUGAUACCAAAAAAAAAAGAUUUAUGAACAUUUUUGUGAAGCUUAGGCGAAAAUUUUUGUUAGGCUCUAUUGGGGUAGAUGAGCAGCUCGGGCAGUUAAUUAUCGCCCAAAAAGCCCAACCCAGAUUACAACAAGCUGGGAUUUGGUUAGCUCGUUGACGGCCAUUUGGGUAUGCAUGAAUUGGGUGGAUGAUUAAUAAAUACGAUUUAUUAAUUAUUUCGCCGAUUUGAAUAUUCUCCUAAUUUAAUCUUUUCUAAUAUAUAAUAACGAGAUUUUGACAUGUGUUAUACCUGUGUUAUUUUAAUAAUCCAAUAGAUAAUAUCUACUUUAUUUUUAUCUUUCGUUAUUAAAUACAAAAACACUAAUAGAAAAAAAAAAUGACUUAACUCUUUUUAUAUUUUUAAUUUUUAUUUAUUUCCUUUUAUUGCUUUCCUAGCAAUGUUCAUCUUUUUACUCUACAACAUCCAUAACCUUAACUUUGGAAAUAAAAGAGAAUAUGCGAAAGUAUAAGUAGGAGAAAGAAUUCAUUGAAAUCAAACGAAUUGGGCAACGUUAGAUUUUUCUUUAAAAUUCUCAUGCGAUAUUAAUUAGUAGUAUUAUCGUUGCUGCCUGCCUACUUCUAACCUCAACCAAUAUAUGAUCAAUGCUUGAUUUGGUCAAUCUAAAUAAUUAUAAUUGAUGAUUGGAUAUUGUUGAAGGGCGGCCCUAAGGAUGAGAGAGGGGAAUGCGUGUGCAAGCCACAUGUGUGAAGAAAAAGAAAAAGGCAAGAGUGAAGAUGACGGCGAUUAAGAUCGUGUUUGAUUUCUUUUCCUGUUUAAUUUUAGUUAAUCUGCUGUUGUUAGUUCCAAAAUUUGAGUUAGCAACAAAAUGACAUGUUUUUGUGUUUAAUAAGGAAAAAGUAAAUAAUAGAUUUUCUAUAGGAUUCUUGGAAUGGAUUAGAUUAGACUAUGGAGAGAAAUAUAUUUGAGAAUAUUAGUGUUGAGUCAUUCUAAUGUCUUUAGUAAUAUAAUUUUUUAUUGAAAUUAGAGUGUUCAAAGUUAGUAAUAAAAAAUUCAUAUAACUCUGGAUUUUUUUAUUGAAUUUAUAUAACUCUGGAUUCUUUUUUUUUUUUUUCAACACUGAUAUGGUUCUGUUCUGUGUAUUUAUAUACAAUUUAAUGUUUACAUACAAGUUAAAUUAGAUCAAUUUAAUAUUUAUAUACAAUCCUUCAAGUCGUAACUCAAUUUUAUGGAGGUUUAUACAUCUUUCAACGAUCAAUUUAAUAUUUAUAUACAAACCUCCGCAUCUUUCAACGAUCUCAUCUGCUGAUUUUUUUGUAUUCCUGCUCUUUCACUUCAAUAAUUUUUUGUAUUAUUCCAUAUCUUUCACUUUAAUAACCCAAAAGCUUUCCUCUGUUUCAAUCGAAAGAAAACCCUAGCUUAAACUAAGCGAAAAUUUACAUAUUAAAGCUAAUUAGUACUGAAUUUUUUUUGGUGGUGCGACCAGAGGUGGAAACAGGGUAUGAAAAUGUGUUACUGGUGAGGUUGCUGCUUAAGAUGAGAAUGCAUUCUUUUCAAAAAUCCUUGGUAGGUGUUAUCUAAUUAUCUUUGAUGGAAUAUUAAAUGGCUAAAAAUCUGUCGUACGUUCAAAUUUUGUUUGUGUUUAGAAGAAUGGUGUUGACUGUAUAUUUGUUUGGAAGAAUGGUGUUGAUUGUAUAUUCAUUUGCUUAGCCUUUUGACAGACGGAUUUGGAACUGACGACAAAUGUGAUUCAAUUUACAAGGUUUUCGAGGGGCUCACAGUGGAAGGGAUAUUGAAGAACUGGUCUAAGAUAAAGCCUAUGAUGGUGAAAGAUUGGAGUGAGAAUAUAGAUGCUCGUUUUCAUCUUUUUGGCAAGGUCAGAGAUGAAUGGAUAGAUAAGGAUUUAUUUGACUACUUGGACUGGUGCUAAUAGGUAUUUUAGGCAAGCUUUUUGAGAUAACACUGAGCAAGUUAUACUACUAUUUUGCACAUGAUGAUCAAAACUCUCGAAAAGUAAAAUAAAAUAAAUUAUUAACUUUUACUUUCAUCUUUUGCAUAGCAAUCAAUGUGGUGCUUGUUCUGUGACAACUUUGAUAAUCUACUUAAUUAUUGGUUGGCAUUUGGACCAAAAAAGUUCUUAUGAUUUACAUGUUUUGUAGAAAUGCAUGAACCUUAAAUGUGCUGAUCAGGGAGUUUAAUUAUUGCACCUUGAAAUUCAUUUAUUGUUAACUAAUUGGCUUUCCUUUGCAUAAAGCCACUUAUAAGGCUUGAGUGGACGUCUUUAUGGGCAUAUUAUUUGUAUUUCUAUAUGCAUGCCUUUAUCAUUUAAUGUGCUGCUUGGAUUUCUUUAUGCAUGCCUUUAUCAUUUAAUGGCCAGCUCCCUCUCCUCUUUUGUAAUUUGAAUAGUAGUAUGGGCCUCCAUUUUACAAAUCUUUAACAUUUUUUGCUGUAAAUUAAUUUUUCUUCAAAUAUUUUGGAGGUCAUUGGAAUUCCUGUAGGUCUAUUUACCAGAUUUUAGUAUGUUUAAGGUUUUAAUUUUGCUUGGACUUUAAUUUUUCUGAAAGAUUGUAGUAUUGAUCCUUAAAGAAAGAUCAUGCUACUUCAAAUUAUUUUGAAGUGUUGCUAGUUAUAGCCUUACAUAUCAAAUUCCAUUUGUCUGGAAAUUUAUUGAUAGCUGUUACAGCAGCAUAUUUUAUGACUCUACUUCUUAGUUAUGUAAGUUCAUUAUGUUUAGGUCAGAGGCAGUCAGCUGUGGGGAAUCGAUAUAUACACAAAUGACUUUGAUCUUGUUGCUGGUAUGUGGUUCUAUGAUAAUUGUUCACAAUAAUUGUGUUUGCCUCACUGUUUUUGUUUUAUGAGAUCUAUAAUUGAUCUUGGGAUAUUACUUUCUAGUCCUCAUGCAAGCAAGUUACUACCUUCCCACUGCAUCUCCUCCUUUAUCUGCUAUUCAAGAGUUGCGUGCCAUAAUCUGGUGUUACCUCUGCAAGAUUGUGAAUAAAUAUAAUGCCUCUAAAUUUAUUUUAUACAUAAUGCUGAUGCUGAAUAAUAUAUUGUAGCUCCUGUCAUAUUCUACUUUGACUUUUUAUAUUCUGUUUCAUAUAAAAAUCUUAUUCAACUCUAGUUGUUCAUGAGCAAAUGUCACAUGUAUAAGCCCAAAUGAUGUUUAAAGGUAGCGCGGCUACCUUUAGUUUGAGCUUACAAUGGAUGAAAAAGAAAUUGAAACUGAUAUUUUACUGUUUUUCUGAUUUUUCAAAGUAUUUUAGAUCCUGACUUUUGUUUGGACUUGAUGGUUAUAGAUUGUGUCUAGAUUUGUUAAGUUUUUUCCAACACCUCGUGCCAAAUGAAAGCACAAUCUUUCUGAUUCAGAUGUCUUGUUAAUUAUGCUUCAUUUUUUCGUUAAAGAUUGGAUGGUUGCAUGGAUUGAUGGAGUUGGAGUUCAACCAAUAAUUCUAAUUUUUUGGACUUAAAAUGCCUUUUUCUUCUGUAUAAAAACUUUAGUAAGUGCUAUUGAGUUGACAGAAGUUGAAUACUUACAGGUUGUUUCACACUUUUUAAUAGUUUUACAUAUAUGAAUUUCUGUUUUUUGAAUUGCAGAAAGGAGGUGGAACUAUUGAUUUGGAGCAUUAUCUUACUCACUUAUCGACAACGGAGCCUACCCUCGCUCCCAUGGCAGUGGAACGGACAACGACUACUAGGGCUGCAACAUCAGUUGGUUUGGGUCUGUUUUGAGUUUAUUGUCAUUUAUUUGGCUAUGUUUUGAUAGCGAAUUUUGAUAUGUCAAUAUAAUGUGUAAUUGUUUUGGGUUGAGCUGGUAAUUAUGCUGGAUUAGAUUGGUUUGGUUUUGGUGCUUCUCUGAUGGAACACUGCUUUUUUUAGA